rnacentral:rRNA from 1 species
AGAUUGAACGCUAGCGGCAUUGCCUAACACAUGCAAGUCGAACGGUAACAGGCCCUUCGGGGUGCUGACGAGUGGCGGACGGUGAGUAAUGCGUAGGAAUCUACCCUGAUGUGGGGGAUAACGUAGGGAAACUUACGCUAAGUACCGCAUACGACCGAGNGGUGAAAGUCGGGGGGACCGAAAGGCCUCGGCGCAGCAGGAUG